rnacentral:sRNA from 1 species
AUGGAGUAUUUCCGGCAAGAGCAUCUCCAUGGGUCUUGAAAGCAGAAACUGGCUUUUUCACUUUUGUAUUUUUGUUUUUGAAAUACUAUCCUCGCCACUAAACUAAUCAGUUCAUCGUGGCAGUUUGCUUCGGCGAACACUCUGGAGCUUUGCCCGAUACAUGACGGACCGGCAAGUCACAACUCUGGCAAUGGUGAACUCCUAUUGAUUCAC